rnacentral:lncRNA from 1 species
GUGACAGUGAAUGGCACUAUGAAGUUUUAUUGUCAUAACUUUGGAAGGACAAUUACUCAGGGAAUCAUAAGAAAUGAGAACAAAUAUGCCACCCUCAUAGAAAAAUAUUUUGAUUAUCCAAUCAUCUCUCCUUGCGUCAACUGCCUAUUCACCUCAUUAUAGUCAAUACUGCUAGAAGGCUGGAGACUCACAAGGAAAACAAGUUAUGCAGAAGGGAAAUCCACAUGACUGGAUCAUUAGAAGGGUUCCCCAGCACGUGUAGGUAAGUACAGGAACUCACUUCAGACUGGUGAGUUGUUUUCUCGAACUGUUCUACUGCAAUCUGGGCCUAUAGUUCUGCCCAUUCUGAAAGAAAUAGGUCUAUGUUACAGUUACAUUAGGCUCUAGAGCUCUCAAACAGAUCCCAGGAUGAGAAGUACUCUCUGCCUACUAGGCUGAUGGAAAAUUUUCAGUUGUUCCUAAUGUUGUCUUGCACGAUUCCUUUCUCACCAGCCCCCAGCAAGGACCAUGGGCAACUGUCCUGAAUGACUCAUCUAAAAAGAAAGAAGAUAUGCAUUCUUAGCAGUUUUUGUGAAAAACCAGGUGCUUGAAACCAGCUGAACUGUUGCAGAAAUAACACUCUUCAGGUGAAACCUGGAGAAGGAUGUCCUUUUUUCAGCCGUUAUUCACUACGUGUUGCACAUUCUAGGAGUUGCAUCUGUCUCUCGGUACACAAGGACUGGGAGGACCUGUGCCUCAGAAGGGAAUGUGAGAAACUUUCCAUCUCCUGAUAAUACAGAAGAAAACUCUCAUUCUUUCCCUUCUCAGGGUUUCUAAUGGCUACACAUAGUAUUAAGGUGGAGUGAAGGCAAGAUGCAACUCCCUUCCAUGAACUGGUGAAGAAGGAGCAGUAAAAUUCCUCAAAUGUGGAGCCUGAAAUGUCUAUGAAUUAGGUAGGAGUAGAGAGAGGAGCUGGCAUCAUAUUUUUUAUUUCUAUGGUAACCUCACCAAGGGAAGCCCAGCAACAGCACAAAUUAUUAUGCAAAAUUUUUCCAGUUUGAUUUUGAACCCAAAAUUCACGUGAAGCAGAUCUCUUGAAUAACUUCACCAAUUCAGAUGUUCUCACUGAUUGUAUCUGACUAGAACAAAGAUUUAUUUUUAAGUUUAUAGAAAUGACUUUCAGUCCUCCUAAACAUCAC